ACUUGGUUGAUCCUGCCAGUAGUCAUAUGCUUGUCUCAAAGCUUAAGCCAUGCAAGUGUAAGUUCACGACACGCAUUAGAAGGGGCGAAACCGCAAAUGGCUCAGGAACCGGACCUAAUCCUUGGGACCGUAAUCUUCCUCGGAGGCGAUGGAUAACUGUGGCAAUUCUAGAGCUAAUACAUGUGACACAGGCCGCGAUCGGUCGGCCCGUCGUCGUCGUCGUCUGCGUGCCGUCAAGCACGUGGGCACCCGCCUCGACCGUUACAGGUCGCGGCGAUACAUAUUAGACUGAGACCGAUGCGCGUCAUUCCGUCCUCUCGCCGUCGUCGUCGUCGUCGUCGUCGCCGCCGUCGUCGCCUUCGUCGUCGCCGUUGUUGUCGCCGCCGUUGUUGUCGCCGCCGUCGUCGUUUUUUCCCUCUGGGUGAGCGCGCGGCGUUCUGCGGCGGGGCCAAAGCGCGGCUCGCUCCGCUUUGGUGACUCUGGAUAACACACUGGUCGAUCGCACUGGCUUUCACGCCUGGCGACGGGUCUCUCAAGGAUCCACCCUAUCAACUCUAGACUGUUGGUUAAGUGCCUACUCUGGUUACUACGGGUAACGUGGAAUCGGGGAAUCGGUGUUCGAUUCCGGAGAGCGCAAUUUACCCACUCCCGGCACGGGGAGGUAGUGACGAAAAAUAACGACGCGGGACUUUGUCGAGGCCCCUCGGUCGGAAUGAGUACACUUCAAAUCCGACGAUGACCAACCAGA